UACGAAGGGGGCUAGCGUUGCUCGGAAUGACUGGGCGUAAAGGGCGCGUAGGCGGUUUGUACAGUCAGGUGUGAAAUUCCCGGGCUUAACUCGGAACGGUCAAGUGAUACUGUCGGACUAGAGUACAGAAGGGGCAACUGGAAUUCUCGGUGUAGCGGUGAAAUGCGCAGAUAUCAGGAGGAACACCGGUGGCGAAGGCGGGUCUCUGGGCCGUAACUGACGCUGAGGAGCGAAAGCAUGGGGAGCGAACAGG
rnacentral:rRNA from 1 species